rnacentral:rRNA from 1 species
CAGCCGCCACGGUAAUACGAAGGGUGCAAGCGUUAAUCGGAAUUACUGGGCGUAAAGCGUGCGUAGGCGGUUUGUUAAGUCUGCUGUGAAAUCCCCGGGCUCAACCUGGGAAUGGCAGUGGAUACUGGCAAGCUAGAGUGUGUCAGAGGAUGGUGGAAUUCCCGGUGUAGCGGUGAAAUGCGUAGAGAUCGGGAGGAACAUCAGUGGCGAAGGCGGCCAUCUGGGACAACACUGACGCUGAGGCACGAAAGCGUGGGGAGCAAACAGGAUUAGAUACCCUUGUAGUCCCUGUCUCUUAUAA